rnacentral:misc_RNA from 1 species
AGAAGACUUUACCUCCUUCUGUAUGGAAAGGCAUAUGGAUCUCCUAGUGGGAAGGCUGUCUGGCAUUUUCCUGAAAAGAUUUAUGAGGCUGAGGAGACAUUGCGCAAGUGUGCAGAGUCUGCAUUACAGUCUGUCUUAGGGAACCUUUCACACACUUAUUUUGUUGGAAAUGCUCCUAUGGGUCACAUGAUCAUACAGCCAACAGAUAAUGCACCAGAUGCUGGUUAUAAGCAAUUCUUCUUUAAGUCCCAGGUGAUUGCGACAAACAAGUUUAAAAUUGGGAAGUGUGAGGAUUUUGUUUGGGUGACU